CACCGCAGGUCACAUCGUGGUUGACGCCAGCCACUGAGAUCUCAGCGUUGCCGAUGGGGUUGUUGUUUUCAUCAUACACCAUGCCUUUUAUCCCAUGAUGCACCUGUAAAAAAACACAAGAGCCAGAGGUUUCGCUCACCUUUGGACAGAGAGUACCAGCUGGCCCCGUUGGUGAUCCCCUCAUCGAAGAAAUCCCCACAGUUCCAGCCCUUGUGCAUCCAGCUGUGAGCGUACGAAUUAGCCACCGAUGUUUAUCAAAGAGGCCAACUUGGGACGACUCCUCUUCUUCUUCUUCUUCACUAUUAAUCCACACAGUAAUUCAUCUUCAGAAAGCUAGAUGGGAAGCUUGCAUUUCAUCUCUUUGGGGGGAAAAAAAACAGAGCCCCCACAGACUGCUCUGUCUCCUGCCAGCUAUGUUCUCACUCCCCACAGCAAGAAGUGCAAAACAAAUGGGCAACCAGUGAUGGGUCUUGUGGAUUUGAAAUCUAUAAUCAUUAUAAAUCCAUUCGCUGUACCCCCAGAACAUUGUAUCAGAUUUGUUUAUCUUGUUUAUGUUGCUUAAUGCCAUUUGACAAAAUGGCUGUCAAACAGGGAAUCAGGAGUUACUCACAUGCCUCAUGGAUGCCCGGGUUAUCGCUGAACUCCAGCACGUAGAGGUGGCGCCCCUCCACGCUGCGCCCGAUGCUGUAGAUGCGCGUGAUGUAGGGGCAUU